rnacentral:lncRNA from 1 species
UUACUAAACUCGGACUACUCUAAAGUUAUGUGAUAGAAGUUAUUUAUUCCCUGUAAUUACGUAAAAUGAAUUCUUCAAAAAAAUUAUCAGUUUAUCACAGUUUAACGGAUAUCAAAAUUUCAGUUUAUUUGAUUAAUAUUAUAGGUGAAACGAAUUUAGUUACAGUAUCUGUACCGCUCCAAGACGCAUUUAAUUUCACUUAUUUACUAACUGAUAAAGUAAUAACAAUGAGCUACCACACUCGGAAUUUAACGUCGGUAUGUAACGAUCAAAUAAAUUCCUAAAAUAAUUUUCUCUGUUUAAAAUCACGGACGAAAACGGCGGAUAAUUUUAAAUAUCAAAAGGACGCGAUCAAAAAAUUUCUGACGUUAAAUCCUGUGAUUAAAUCUUGACUGGGAGCGAUAACCCACCGUUUUUGUGAUAAAAAAAAGAGUAUAAUAUCCUCUAUAGGUCAGAGUAUAAUACUCUGGUUAGUCUCUGUCAUCGAGUAAGUGGUAUGAUUUUCCCCAAAACUGGAACUAGCCAUAUCGAUGGUCGAGCUGAAUUUACUUGAUAGCGCUAUUGCUUAGCAUGUUUUGUUUUUUUAUAGUAAUUAUAUAAUAAUAAAUGUGU